rnacentral:rRNA from 1 species
UACGAGAGUUUUUAACUCAAGUGGCGGACGGGUGAGUAACACGUAAGAAUUUGCCUUUAGGAGGGGGACAACAACUGGAAACGGUUGCUAAUACCCCAUAUGCUUUCGAGUGAAAUGGAUUUUUCCGCCUAGAGAGAAGCUUGCGGCUGAUUAGCUUGUUGGUGAGGUAAUGGCUCACCAAGGCGACGAUCAGUAUCUGGUUUGAGAGGACGAUCAGACACACUGGAACUGAGACACGGUCCAGACUCCUACGGGAGGCAGCAGUGGGGAAUUUUCCGCAAUGGGCGAAAGCCUGACGGAGCAAUACCGCGUGAGGGAUGACGGCCUAUGGGUUGUAAACCUCUUUUUUCAGGGAGGAAUAAAAUGACGUGUACCUGAAGAAUAAGCAUCGGCUAACUCCGUGCCAGCAGCCGCGGUAAGACGGAGGAUGCAAGUGUUAUCCGGAAUCACUGGGCGUAAAGCGUCUGUAGGUGGUCCAAUAAGUCAACUGUUAAAUCUUGAGGCUCAACCUCAAAACCGCAGUCGAAACUAUUAGACUAGAGUAUAGCAGGGGUAAAGGGAAUUUCCAGUGGAGCGGUGAAAUGCGUAGAGAUUGGAAAGAACACCGAUGGCGAAGGCACUUUACUGGGCUAUUACUAACACUCAGAGACGAAAGCUAGGGUAGCAAAUGGGAUUAGAUACCCC